rnacentral:siRNA from 1 species
ACGUGAAACGGCAUUAAACUAUUU